UGCCAGAGUGGAAUAAGACACCAUCUCUUU
rnacentral:piRNA from 1 species